rnacentral:misc_RNA from 1 species
GAUGAAGAACGUAGCGAAAUGCGAUAAGUAGUGUGAAUUGCAGAAUUCAGUGAAUCAUCGAAUCUUUGAACGCACAUUGCGCCCCUUGGUAUUCCAUGGGGCAUGCCUGUUCGAGCGUCAUUUGUACCUUCAAGCCUUGCUUGGUGUUGGGUGUUUGUCCCGAGGGACUCGCCUUAAAGUAAUUGGCAGCCAGUGUUUGGUUUUGAAGCGCAGCACAAGUCGCGAUUCAAGGCUACACGCCCGCUUCCACAAGCCUUUUUUCACUUUUGACCUCGGAUCAGGUAGGGAUACCCGCUGAACUUAAGCAUAUCAAUAAGCGGAGGA